UGUCAUGAACUCCAUAACCUUCACUGUUCAUUAUAUCGUCUUUCAUAGUAAUUAUUGAGAUUUCUAAUCAAAUUAGAUCUGAAUGAGACUUAAUCAAUAAAUUGUCUAUCUUUUCUGUUCUUUGAAGGGUGGUGCCCCGCGAGAACUUUAACCAACUAAAGUUAUGAUCUAAUAUUAAUAUUUGUAAUAUUAAUGUUUUAUAUUUUAUUUUGAUAAACAAAUUUAUCGAAUGCCUAAAGGCACAACAUUCUAUGGUAACACUUUUUAGGCAUUAUUGCACAACAUGUGUUUGAGCUGAAAGCUGCAGAAUAAAGUGACGUGUGGUUGAGGUGUUGGUAACAAGCAGUGAUAUGAGAGGACGCACAGAGAGGGAGGAGCAACACUGUCAAAGAGCAGAAAAGACCUCCUGCUGUGCUGCAUUCAAUAUCUACAGCAGACCUCAGAUAGUGUCGGUAAGAUGUUCCCUCUGCGUCACGCUGGAGUCUGGCCUUUGUUUCUCUUCAUCCUGAAAGGUGUCAGCUGUGAUGAACUGACUCCAGACCAGACUGCAGAGUUCAGUGUAGAAGGCAGCACUGUUACUCUGUCCUACAAGUUCUCCAGGACAAUAACUGGUAGUGAUGAUUUCUUCUGGUAUCGACAGAAUCCAGGACAAGCUCCAGAGUUCCUCCUUUACAUCUCAGGGUUGAAUGUGACAAGAAGGUCUGAUUCUCUGAAGUCAGAAACAAGGUUCUUCUCUCACCUGUCUGGAAUUGAUGUCAAACUGCAGAUCUCCUCUGCUGCAGUGACAGACUCUGCUGUGUACUACUGUGCUGUGAGGCCCACAGUGACAGGAAACUACACAACUCUGUACAAAAACCUGUGGAGCAACCACACAACUCCUCAUCCUCCACUAGAGGGAGUCACUCACUGUUAAACCUCAGUGUUUCUUAUGAUCCAGUCCAGAUUCUUUGUUGUGAUGAUUAAACAGACGAAUGACCAGCAGAUUAUUUUCUAUAUAAAAUAACAGAAAGUCUCAAAGAUGACGAGAUGCUGAGUCAUGUUCACUGUGUCAUGUGUUGUUAUACUUGAGGCAUCGACCUAUAUUGUCCCGU